GUCUUUUUGAAUUAAAUUUAAAGUCUAAUCUGCCCACUGAUAAUAAGAUUAAAGGGCUGCAGUAUAUUGACUGUACAAAGGUAGCAUAAUAAUUAGUCUUUUAAUUGAAGACUUGUAUGAAAGAUUUGAUGAGAUAUAAACUGUCUCUUUUUUAUAAUUAGAAUUUAAUUUUUCAGUAAAAAAGCUGAAAUUAAUUUAAAAGACGAGAAGACCCUAUAGAGUUUUAUAAUUAAUUUAAUUAUAUAUUUAUAUUUAAUUUUAAAGUUAAUUAAUUUAAUUAUUUUAUUGGGGUGAUAGAAAAAUUAAAUUAACUUUUUUUAAAUAUUAAACAUUAAUUAAUGAUUUUAUGAUCCAUAAUUUAUGAUUAUAAGAAAAAAUUACCUUAGGGAUAACAGCGUAAUUUUUUUUUUUAGUUCUUAUAAGAAAAAAAGUUUGCGACCUCGAUGUUGGAUUAAGAUAAAAUUUAAAUGUAGAAAUUUAAAAUUUUGAUAUGUUCGAUCAUUAAAAUCUUACA
rnacentral:rRNA from 1 species